rnacentral:SRP_RNA from 1 species
GCCAAGCGCAGUGGCGCGUGACUGUAGUCCCAGCUACUCGGGAGGCUCAGGUGGGAGGAUCACUUGAGCCCAGGAGUUCUGGGCUGUAGUGCCUUAUGCCGAUCAGGUGUCCGCACUAAGUUCAGCAUCAAUAUGGUGACCUCCCGGGAGCGGGGACCACCAGGUUGCCUAAGGAGGGGUGAACCGGCCCAGGUCGGAAAUGCAGAAGGUCAAAACUCCCAUGCUGAUCAGUAGUGGGAUCGCGCCUGUGAAUAGUCACUGCACUCCAGCCUGGGCAACAUAGCGCGACCCCGUCUCU